UCAAAUAUGUAUAAAAUUUUGUAUUUUUAGGGGUACAAUCUAAAAGUUUUAGACCAAAAGGGUGGAUAAAUCUGUAAAGUUGAAGAACUUUGCACCAAAUUGAAAAGAAAGAAAAAGAAGAGGAACCUAAGAUGCAAAAAUAAGAAAGCUGCACCAAAAUCAAAAAUUCUCCAUCUGAGAUUCGAUUCACCGGUGGCUGGCUAUAGACCCGACGGAUCAACGAACGAAGAUCAAAGAGAAGACAACAAGGAAUGUUGCUUGACUGUUGUUGGUCUGAAGAGAAAGAAAACAGCGGCGGAGAAUGAGUGUUGCUUGUUGGAAGAGACGAUAAAAUUUUGUUCUCUCUGAGUCUCUGUUCACUUUCCCCCGUCAAUUCCAUGAUUGCGGGAUGAUUCUUCUAGGUUGUUUUCUCAUUGGUACCAGAGGAUCGAGCUCUAGGGAGCAGCGGCUCCGUGUGCUAGCUAGCUAGCUCGAAGGUUGAUAUCCUUCUCUCUCUUCUGCGCAUCAUAAAACCUUCUUCUAACCAACCAACCAGGAGACACCGCUAGAUUAAGCGGAUGGUUAUCAGUGGUAGAUGGGAAACAAGUUUCUGAUGGCUUGGCUGAAAGAAGAGAAGUUGGUUGGUUAGAAGCAUGUUCUUAUCAGAUUCACACGUCAUGGCCCAAUUAUCUUGGUUUAGAAAGGCAACUGCUGCUAAUCUUAUUUGCAAGAUAUGUUCUACCAAGUCAAAAGUCAUGUUUUGGAUUGGGAAGACAGUGGCCCGCCCAAUGGGUCAUCUUUGUGUUCAUUAUGUGGUGUUGGAAGAAGAGCAUUUGUUUUUUCUUGAGUUUGGACAGAGGAGACACAAGGUGGUCACAUGGGUGAGUAACGUGUUGUGUGUUGCUAUGAUUUCUGCGACAAGGACUUCAUUUGGCGGAUUUCUACUCUUCUUAUAUGGUUAUGCUUUGCAAAUCUUGAGUUCCUUUGUAAAUCUUUCUAAUUGUCAAAUAAUGUCCGAAAUGGGGUGUUUUUACCAUAGGGCACAUGAUAACUGUAAAGAUACAGACAUGGGUUUUGAGGAGUUUUUAGAGCCGCUUUAAGCUUCUCUUGCAGAAGAAGAAGAACGCUGGGAAAAAGGCAGGUGGGUGGUGAAAAGGAGCACAGCUUCGAAAGAAGCAAAGAAGAGGAAAGAGGAAGGAGCAUCAGCGCCAAAAGCGUGUGAGGAUUAGCUUGCGUGUGCUUGAAAAGCAGUGGCUGUGGGCAUGAUCAUAUAUGUAGAAUUGCUUUACCCCUUUGUGACUCUAUAGUCAACGGAUAUGAAAUGAAUGUUUAAAAGACUGGACUGGACCUCUUAUUUACAGACUAGUAAUAAUGUCUUUAGUAGAUCCUCAAACA